AUUGAACGCUGGCGGCAGGCCUAACACAUGCAAGUCGAACGGUAACAGGAAGCAGCUUGCUGCUUUGCUGACGAGUGGCGGACGGGUGAGUAAUGUCUGGGAAACUGCCUGAUGGAGGGGGAUAACUACUGGAAACGGUAGCUAAUACCGCAUAACGUCGCAAGACCAAAGAGGGGGACCUUCGGGCCUCUUGCCAUCGGAUGUGCCCAGAUGGGAUUAGCUAGUAGGUGGGGUAACGGCUCACCUAGGCGACGAUCCCUAGCUGGUCUGAGAGGAUGACCAGCCACACUGGAACUGAGACACGGUCCAGACUCCUACGGGAGGCAGCAGUGGGGAAUAUUGCACAAUGGGCGCAAGCCUGAUGCAGCCAUGCCGCGUGUAUGAAGAAGGCCUUCGGGUUGUAAGUACUUUCAGCGGGGAGGAAGGGAGUAAAGUUAAUACCUUUGCUCAUUGACGUUACCCGCAGAAGAAGCACCGGCUAACUCCGUG
rnacentral:rRNA from 1 species